rnacentral:rRNA from 1 species
AUGGCCGCCGCCCCGUCACCGGCGCCGCCGCGGAUCCUCCUCGCCGGCGACGCCCACGGCCGCCUGCACCAGCUCUUCAAGCGCGUCAAAUCGGUGAACCAGUCGACAGGGCCGUUCCACGCGCUGCUCUGUGUGGGGCAGUUCUUCCCGCCCGAGGCCGCCGAGGGGGACAGCCCGCCGGGGGACGUCGCGGACUAUCUGGAGGGACGGGCCGCCGUGCCCAUCCCGACCUACUUCACCGGCGACUACGGCCCCACUGCGCCUCGCCUCCUCUCGAAGGCCGCUGCUGACGCCCGAGGAUUCAACCCCGGUGGCAUCGAGAUAUGCCCCAACCUAUUCUGGCUCAGGGGCAGCGCCCUCUUCAACCUCCACGGUUUAUCGGUAGCUUACUUGUCAGGAAGGAAAGGGUUAGGAGGGCCUGGCUGCUAUAGCCAGGAUGAUGUUGAUGCCCUGCGGGCUCUUGCCGAAGAGCCAGGAAUUGUUGAUUUGUUCUUGACUAACGAAUGGCCAGCUGGAGUGGUGGAUGGCGCUGAUACUUCUAAGGUGCCUCCUCAGGUCUUGGAUCCUCAGGGGUAUGAUCCUGUUGUUGCCGAAUUGGUUGCCGAGAUUAAGCCAAGAUAUCACAUUGCAGGUACUAAAGGUAUAUUUUAUGCAAGGGAACCUUAUGUGAAUGAUUCCUCUCCCCAUGUUACCCGUUUUAUUGGACUUGCUAAUGUGGGAAACAAAGAGAAGCAGAAAUUUAUUCAUGCGAUUUCUCCUACUCCAGCAUCCACCAUGUCCAGUGCUGAUAUUCAUGCGAGACCUCCAAAUGCUACUUUAUCACCAUAUGCUGCUCCAGCAAAAUCUGUUCAUGUUGAAGACACUCCAAAGCGUCCUGCUGAAAGCACUGAUUUGCAAUAUUGGCGUUAUGAUGUCAAGCGGCAACGACAAGGGCAAACUGAUGGAAGUCUAUUGUGUUUCAAAUAUACAUCCUCAGGGUCCUGUCCUCGAGGGAGUAAAUGCAACUUCAGGCAUGAUGAAGAAGCCAGGGAACACUGUCAGAGAAAUGUCUGUUUUGAUUUUCUAAACAAGGGAAAAUGUGAGAGGGGCCCUGAAUGCAGAUUUGCUCACAGCCUUACUGAAGAGGCUGCUGCAAGGGAUGCAAAACCCCGUAGUGAACGACGACGUGUUGAGAGCAGCUGCUGGUUCUGUUUGUCAAGUCCAGAUGUCGAGUCACAUCUUGUUAUUAGUAUCGGAGAUGGUUACUACUGCGCGCUUGCGAAGGGACCACUUGUUCCGGAUCAUGUUCUAGUGAUACCAGUUGAACACUUCCCUACUACAAUAGCGAUGCCUGUGGAACCUGAGGCAGAGCUCAGGAGAUAUAAGGAUUCACUGGGUAAGUAUUUUGAGAAACGAGGAAAAGCAGCUGUAUAUUUUGAGUGGGUUUCACAGCAGUCUCGCCAUGCAAACCUUCAGGCUGUCCCCGUACCAUUGUCAAAGGCAACUAAUGUUAAGAAGAUCUUUCACCUAGCAGCCCAACGAUUGGGAUUUGAAUUUUCUGUUGUGAAUCCAGAUGGUGAUGCUAACCAAGGUAGAGAACUGUUAAGGUCGCAGUAUGACGGCAAAUCGGGCUUGUUUUAUGUAGAGCUCCCAGAUGGCACACUACUCUUGCAUAUAAUUGACAGUGGUGAGAAGUUCCCUGCCCAGUUUGGACGUGAGGUAUUGGCGGGAUUGUUAAGCAUGGCAGACCGUGCAGACUGGAGGAACUGUAAGCUUUCCAAGGAAGAAGAAGUUAAGAUGGUGGAUGAUUUUAAGCAAGGGUUCCGCGAGUUUGAUCCUGCUGAAUGA